rnacentral:rRNA from 1 species
UACGGAGGGUGCAAGCGUUAUCCGGAUUCACUGGGUUUAAAGGGUGCGUAGGAGGACUGGUAAGUCAGUGGUGAAAUCCCCGAGCUUAACUUGGGAACUGCCGUUGAUACUAUCAGUCUUGAAUACCGUGGAGGUGAGCGGAAUAUGUCAUGUAGCGGUGAAAUGCUUAGAUAUGACAUAGAACACCAAUUGCGAAGGCAGCUCGCUACACGAAUAUUGACUCUGAGGCACGAAAGCGUGGGGAUCAAGCAGG